AUUGAACGCUGGCGGCAGGCCUAACACAUGCAAGUCGAGCGGAUGAAGGGAGCUUGCUCCUGGAUUCAGCGGCGGACGGGUGAGUAAUGCCUAGGAAUCUGCCUGGUAGUGGGGGAUAACGUCCGGAAACGGGCGCUAAUACCGCAUACGUCCUGAGGGAGAAAGUGGGGGAUCUUCGGACCUCACGCUAUCAGAUGAGCCUAGGUCGGAUUAGCUAGUUGGUGGGGUAAAGGCCUACCAAGGCGACGAUCCGUAACUGGUCUGAGAGGAUGAUCAGUCACACUGGAACGGGGACACGGUCCAGACUCCUACGGGAGGCAGCAGUGGGGAAUAGUGGACAAUGGGCGAAAGCCUGAUCCAGCCAUGCCGCGUGUGUGAAGAAGGUCUUCGGAUUGUAAAGCACUUUAAGUUGGGAGGAAGGGCAGUAAGUUAAUACCUUGCUGUUUUGACGUUACCAACAGAAUAAGCACCGGCUAACUUCGUG
rnacentral:rRNA from 1 species